UUAGAUACGGACACUCAAGGUGCCGCCUUUUCAGCGAGGCGGAGAAUUGGGAAGCCGGUCAAAACCCGGCGCUGCCCCCGCAACGGUGGUGGAGCAAAGCCACGGCAAAAAGUCACUGGACGUCCCGUCCGGGAAGGCGCCGGGCGGGUCCUUCGCGGACGGCUCCAGAGCCCGGAAACCAGCCUUGACGCGAGAAAUAGA
rnacentral:ncRNA from 1 species